rnacentral:rRNA from 1 species
GACGAACGCUGGCGGCGUGCUUAACACAUGCAAGUCGAACGGAAAGGCCCUGCUUUUGUGGGGUGCUCGAGUGGCGAACGGGUGAGUAACACGUGAGUAACCUGCCCUUGACUUUGGGAUAACUUCAGGAAACUGGGGCUCAUACCGGAUAGGAGCUCCUGCUGCAUGGUGGGGGUUGGAAAGUUUCGGCGGUUGGGGAUGGACUCGCGGCUUAUCAGCUUGUUGGUGGGGUAGUGGCUUACCAAGGCUUUGACGGGUAGCCGGCCUGAGAGGGUGACCGGCCACAUUGGGACUGAGAUACGGCCCAGGCUCCUACGGGAGGCAGCAGUGGGGAAUAUUGCACAAUGGGCGGAAGCCUGAUGCAGCAACGCCGCGUGCGGGAUGACGGCCUUCGGGUUGUAAACCGCUUUCGCCUGUGACGAAGCGUGAGUGACGGUAAUGGGUAAAGAAGCACCGGCUAACUACGUG